rnacentral:lncRNA from 1 species
UUUUUUUAAGAAGGGACACAUGUGGAACACGACGUUCCUACAUGUGUGCAACAUCUGACCCUAGUUUAGUAGGUCAAUGUUGUUGCGUUUAUGGAGCAAAAUUCUGGUUGAGAUUCAAUCAAAUUUGUUGCUAUAUUUUAGCAACGCAUUUGUGUGAUUUUUUUUACAGUUAUUGAAGAUUAAAUCAAUUUAUAUGAAGGUUUAAAUUUGAAUUUGAAUUAAUAACAAAUAAU